CCGCAAGCCUUCCAGCGUGGUGGGGUCUGCAGUGGCCCCGUCCAUUCCUGCAGCGCUUGCCAGAGCACCCCCAGGAGCUCUGGGGCCUCCCCCUGCACCCCGUGGGGAGGCCGUCGAAGUCUUGGGACACAU
ensembl:snoRNA